CUCCAUGGGUGAUCCUGUAGUACCUCACGGUAACAGGCUACUUAAGGCUAGGUUAGUAAAGGCUAGGCUAGUUAACGUACCAGACAGACCUGACUCUCCAUGGGUGAUCCUGUAGUACCUCACGGUAACAGGCUACUUAAGGCUAGGUUAGUAAAGGCUAGGCUAGUUAACGUACCAGACAGACCUGACUCUCCAUGGGUGAUCCUGUAGUACCUCACGGUAACAGGCUACUUAAGGCUAGGUUAGUAAAGGCUAGGCUAGUUAACGUACCAGACAGACCUGACUCUCCAUGGGUGAUCCUGUAGUACCUCACGGUAACAGGCUACUUAAGGCUAGGUUAGUAAAGGCUAGGCUAGUUAACGUACCGGACAGACCUGACUCUCCAUGGGUGAUCCUGUAGUACCUCACAGUAACAGGCUACUUAAGGCUAGGUUAGUAAAUGCUAGGCUAGUUAACGUACCGGACAGACCUGAC